UGUCUCUAGGUAUGGUGUCUCUUCCCUGGGCUAGACGACAGGAAGCUCCAGCUGAGUGACUUUGAACAAUGACGAUACGGAACAUAACUACAGAAGGCAGCCCUUGAAGUCCCCACAGAGAAGGCUGCAGACCAGGGUCCUUUGUAGGAAUAAUGAAAGCUGAGAGCACCCUCUGUCUUUGUAAGCAUCUGUUUGUGUGCUAUGUGGUCAGGAGAAGAACAAGGAUCGAGAGCGGAGUGUCGAGAUCCGAUGAACUUGACCUUAUAGUGACUGAGCAUCUGAGACGUGGAAGAAAUACUGUUAUUACAACACCAAAUUGCAGUUGAAGUAACAGCCUGGGGAAAAGCAACAACAAACCACUUCACUCCUCUGGGUGGAAACAUGCAAUUGUACCAAGAAGGACAAGGAAAAAACUUCUCAUACAUAGAGAAAGAAGUUGGAAUAAGGGAGUGAAAGCAGACAGGCUACUUGGGCAUCUGACGCAAGAGAUGUGAGAAAGUAGCUCAG
rnacentral:lncRNA from 1 species